UACGUAGGGUGCGAGCGUUGUCCGGAUUUAUUGGGCGUAAAGGGCGCGUAGGUGGCCCGGUCAGUUCGUGGUGAAAGCGCGGGGCUCAACCCUGCGUCGGCCAUGAAUACUGCCGCGGCUGGAGCACUGUAGAGGCAGGCGGAAUUCCGGGUGUAGCGGUGGAAUGCGUAGAGAUCCGGAAGAACACCGGUGGCGAAGGCGGCCUGCUGGGCAGUUGCUGACACUGAGGCGCGACAGCGUGGGGAGCAAACAGG
rnacentral:rRNA from 1 species